GCAGUUGGCGGGGUAACGGCCCACCAAACCGACGAUGGAUAGGGGUUCUGAGAGGAAGGUCCCCCACAUUGGUACUGAGACACGGACCAAACUCCUACGGGAGGCAGCAGUGAGGAAUAUUGGUCAAUGGGCGUAAGCCUGAACCAGCCAAGUCGCGUGAGGGAUGAAGGUUCUAUGGAUCGUAAACCUCUUUUAUAAGGGAAUAAAGUGCGGGACGUGUCCCGUUUUGUAUGUACCUUAUGAAUAAGGAUCGGCUAACUCCGUGCCAGCAGCCGCGGUAAUACGGAGGAUCCGAGCGUUAUCCGGAUUUAUUGGGUUUAAAGGGUGCGUAGGCGGCCCCUUAAGUCAGCGGUGAAAGUCUGUGGCUCAACCAUAGAAUUGCCGUUGAAACUGGGAGGCUUGAGUAUGUUUGAGGCAGGCGGAAUGCGUGGUGUAGCGGUGAAAUGCAUAGAUAUCACGCAGAACCCCGAUUGCGAAGGCAGCCUGCCAAGCCAUUACUGACGCUGAUGCACGAAAGCGUGGGGAUCAAACAGGAUUAGAUACCCUGGUAGUCCACGCAGUAAACGAUGAUCACUAGCUGUUUGCGAUACACUGUAAGCGGCACAGCGAAAGCGUUAAGUGAUCCACCUGGGGAGUACGCCGGCAACGGUGAAACUCAAAGGAAUUGACGGGGGCCCGCACAAGCGGAGGAACAUGUGGUUUAAUUCGAUGAUACGCGAGGAACCUUACCCGGGUUUGAACGCAUUUCGACAGCUCUGGAAACAGAGUCUCUAGCGAUAGCGAUUUGCGAGGUGCUGCAUGGUUGUCGUCAGCUCGUGCCGUGAGGUGUCGGCUUAAGUGCCAUAACGAGCGCAACCCUUGCCACUAGUUACUAACAGGUAAAGCUGAGGACUCUGGUGGGACUGCCAGCGUAAGCUGCGAGGAAGGCGGGGAUGACGUCAAAUCAGCACGGCCCUUACAUCCGGGGCGACACACGUGUUACAAUGGCGUGGACAAAGGGAGGCCACCUGGCGACAGGGAGCGAAUCCCCAAACCACGUCUCAGUUCGGAUCGGAGUCUGCAACCCGACUCCGUGAAGCUGGAUUCGCUAGUAAUCGCGCAUCAGCCAUGGCGCGGUGAAUACGUUCCCGGGCCUUGCACA
rnacentral:rRNA from 1 species